rnacentral:rRNA from 1 species
GCGAAAGUCCCCUUACGGGGGACAAGUAGAGUGGCGUCCGGGUGAGUAACACGUAGGUAAUCUACCUUCGGGUGGGGAAUAACGCAGGGAAACUUGCGCUAAUACCGCAUAAUGCAGCGGCACCACAUGGUGACAGUUGUUAAAGCGGGGGAUUUUCGAACCUCGCGCCUGAAGAGGAGCCUGCGGCAGAUUAGCUAGUUGGUAGGGUAACGGCUUACCAAGGCGACGAUCUGUAACCGGCCUGAGAGGGCGGUCGGUCACACUGACACUGACAUACGGGUCAGACUCCUACGGGAGGCAGCAGUCGGGAAUUUUGGGCAAUGGGCGAAAGCCUGACCCAGCAACGCCGCGUGAAGGAUGAAAUCCCUCGGGAUGUAAACUUCGCAAGAAUGGGAAGAAUUAGCGAGUAUUAAUACUGCUCGUGAUGACGGUACCAUUUGUAAGCUCCGGCUAACUCCGUGCCAGCAGCCGCGGUAAUACGGGGGGAGCAAGCGUUGUUCGGAUUUACUGGGCGUAAAGGGCGCGUAGGCGGUCAGCACAAGUCAGUUGUGAAAUCUCCGGGCUUAACUCGGAAAGGUCAACUGAUACUGUGCGACUAGAGUGCAGAAGGGGCAACUGGAAUUCUCGGUGUAGCGGUGAAAUGCGUAGAUAUCGAGAGGAACACUGCGGCGAAGGCGGGUUGCUGGGCUGACACUGACGCUGAUGCGCGAAAGCCAGGGGAGCGAACGGGAUUAGAUACCCCGGUAGUC